UGAUGGGAUGCUWGUUGGUGAGGUAACGGCUCACCAAGGCGACGAUCCCUAGCAGUGGUCUGAGAGGAUGACCAGCCACACUGGAACUGAGACACGGUCCAGACUCCUACGGGAGGCAGCAGUGGGGAAUAUUGCACAAUGGGCGCAAGCCUGAUCAGCCAUGCCGCGUGUAUGAAGAAGGCCUUCGGGUUGUAAUUAGUACUUCAGCGGGGAGGAAGGUGUUGUGGUUAAUAACCGCAGCAAUUGACGUUACCCGCAGAAGAAGCACCCGGCUACUCCGUGCCAGCAGCCGCGGUAAUAGGAGGGUGCAAGCGUUAAAUCGGAAUUACUGGGCGUAAAGCGCACGCAGGCGGUCUGUCAAGUCGGAUGUGAAAUCCCCGGGCUCAACCUGGGAACUGCAUUCGAAACUGGCAGGCUUGAGUCUUGUAGAGGGGGGUAGAAUUCCAGGUGUAGCGGUGAAAUGCGUAGAGAUCUGGAGGAAUACCGGUGGCGAAGGCGGCCCCCUGGACAAGACUGACGCUCAGGUGCGAAAGCGUGGGGCAGCAAACAGGAUUAGAUACCCUGGUAGUCCACGCCGUAAACGAUGUCUACUUGGAGGUUGUGCCCUUGAGGCGUGGCUUCCGGAGCUAACGCGUUAAGUAGACCGCCUGGGGAGUACGGCCGCAAGGUUAAUACUCAAAUGAAUUGACGGGGGCCCGCACAAGCGGUGGAGCAUGUGGUAAUUCGAUGCAACGCGAAGAACCGGUUACCUGGUCUUGACAUCCACAGAAGAAUCCAGAGAUGGAUUKGUGCCUUCGGGAACUGUGAGACAGGUGCUGCAUGGCUGUCGUCAGCUCGUGUUGUGAAAUGUUGGGUUAAGUCCCGCAACGAGCGCAACCCUUCCUUUGUAAUGCCAGCGGUCCGGCCGGGAACUCAAAGGAGACUGCCAGUGAUAAACUGGAGGAAGGUGGGGAUGACGUCAAGUCAUCAUGGCCCUUACGACCAGGGCUACACACGUGCUACAAUGGCGCACAAAGAGAAGCGACCUCGCGAGAGCAUCAGCGGACCUCAUAAAGUGCGUCGUAGUCCGGAUUGGAGUCUGCAACUCGACUCCAUGAAGUCGGAAUCGCUAGUAAUCGUGGAUCAGAAUGCCACGGUGAAUACGUUCCCGGGCUUGUACACACCGCCCGUCACACCAUGGGAGUGCGGUUGCAAAAGAAGUAGUAGCUU
rnacentral:rRNA from 1 species